rnacentral:lncRNA from 1 species
AAGCUUAUAUGGUUGCAGGUUCUGAAGGAAGACUCUAUAUUUUGUGUUACUUCAAAGAGAUCUACAAUCGAUAAAUGCAAUUUAGCUUCAGGAAUCAGAUUGUUCGUUUCAGCUGCUCACACGGAACCUGAUCUGGUGAAAGCAUAUGAAUCAUUUAAAAGAGUUACUCCAUCGGUGCUGGAAGGUCAAUGAAUAUAUUUUCUGAACCAUUGCCCAUUUUAGAAUAACUCGAUACUAAAACACGCUUUUUUCUCUGGAGAUCUUUUUGUUAGAUGAUGAUGAUCUUCCCGUCGCACAAAAAAGGCUCUUUGAAGUUUUCAUUGUUGGUUAUUUUGUGUUUAUAACUAGUUUACCACAGAUGUACAAAUUUUUGGAUUGUAUUUCUUUUUCUUGGGAUGGCUUAAACCGGCAUUCACCACUUUGUAAAGAGAUAUGAUAACCAAAUGAGCAACUACAGAGGGAGUCUUAAGUCGAGCUUUGUGACCAUUUUGUACAAAAUGUCGAAACUGUUACGAUCAAUCACUACCAUACUAGUAGAUUCAGGCAUCUAUAGCAUGGCGUCUCCCAUGGAGAAAGAAGAAAUUAUACAUGUGCACGACAUUCUUUUUCUUACAUUGUGACCAACACACAUGUGAACAAGUCAUAAGACCGCCCCUCAGGGCACAUCCAAGUUGGCGGAACAAUUACAUUGGGGGGCUCUGGAACCAAGCGUGGAGAGUUCGAUUCCUGGUGGGAAUCUUUGAUCCAAUAAAGGAGGAAUUAUUGGUGGAUUAAUUACCAUGGAGGAGGCUUCUUUUGGGGAAGGAGUAAAAGCCAUGUGAGAACCUGGGAACCAACAAGGGCACAUCCUGCGAUUUACCUCCCUGAGCAGCUGAGGGGUCGGAGGUUCAGGGACGAGGAUAUAUAGUCUGGCGCAAGUUGGGACACCUCGAUAAAAAAAAAAAAAAGUCAUAAGACCAAUUCUUUUUGCUUAUAUUGUGACCAAAAUGCAUAUGCACAAGUCAUAAGGCCCCCUAUCGCCAUUUCUAUUCGUUAUUUGUCUUGAAUAUCUAUCAAAAUCAUUGAAAGUGGCU